rnacentral:rRNA from 1 species
AGAACGAACGCUGGCGGCGUGCCUAACACAUGCAAGUCGAACGGAGAUAAGGGGCUUGCUCCUUAUUUUAGUGGCGCACGGGUGAGUAACGCGUGGAUAAUCUACCUUGGAAUCUGGGAUAACAUUUCGAAAGGGGUGCUAAUACCGGAUAAGACCACGAGCUCUUUGGAGUUUGCGGUAAAAGGGGGCCUCUGUAUAUGCUUCUGUUUCAAGAUGAGUCCGCGUACCAUUAGCUAGUUGGCAGGGUAAUGGCCUACCAAGGCGACGAUGGUUAGCUGGUCUGAGAGGAUGAUCAGCCACACUGGAACUGAGACACGGUCCAGACUCCUACGGGAGGCAGCAGUGGGGAAUUUUGCGCAAUGGGGGAAACCCUGACGCAGCAACGCCGCGUGAGUGAUGAAGGCCUUCGGGUCGUAAAGCUCUGUCAGAGGGAAAGAAGUGU